rnacentral:rRNA from 1 species
GACGAACGCUGGCGGCGUGCUUAACACAUGCAAGUCGAACGGAAAGGCCCAGCUUGCUGGGUGCUCGAGUGGCGAACGGGUGAGUAACACGUGGGUGAUCUGCCCCUAUAUUCGGGUUAAGCAUGUGAAACUGGGUCUAAUAACGGACAGGACAUUUGUUUAGUGUCGGGUGUGGAAAGUUUUUGCGGUUAGGGAUGAGCCCGCGACCUAUCAGCUUGUCGGUGAGGUAACGGCGUAACAAGGCGACGACGGGUAGCCGACCUGAGUGGGUGGUCGGCCACACUGGAAGUGAGACACGGUCCAGAGGCCUACGGGAGGCAGCAGUAGGGAAUCUGCCGCAAUGGGCGAAAGGCUGGCGGAGCAACGCCGCGUGAGUGAUGAAGGUCUUCGGAUAGUAAAACUCUGUUAUUAGGGAAGAACAAAUGUGUAAGUAACUAUGCACGUCUUGACGGUACCUAAUCAGAAAGCCACGGCUAACUACGUG